UCCACGGCUGUGAUCGUGUUCGAGCUCACA
rnacentral:piRNA from 1 species